UUUUUUUUUCUGCCGCCCCCCACCCUGGCUUGGUGUUCUGAGCUUAACCACAUUUGGCUCUUCCAACAACUGGAGCAUUUUUAUACUCAUUCCUUGGACUCCAGACACCUAAUGCUAACAACAUAAAAAGGACUUGGGACAUGACUACAGGAAGAGACAUAUCUAGUCUCCCAGAGCUUCACCAUUCCCAGGAGGGAAGGGCUCAAGCGAUGCUCCGAUAGACUGCAAAUUACCAGGACAAGCCGGCUACAAUAUACAGAACCCUCUGCCUGGCGUGCUCCCGCCCCCAGCCCGCGCCCAUCCUGGGGACUCCGCAUUCAGCACAGGAUGACAAGCCCUGCCGAGCGCGAUCCAAGCAGAGCCCACCACCCGGUCCCCCUCCACCCUCGCCAGCGCGGCGGGUGCGGAGCGGUCUGCAGAGCCUGCGCAGGGGAUGCGCCGCCCGGGAGAGACAAGGCGCCGGGGGCGAGCUGCGGACCCCGUACUUACACCAACUGCCACCGGUCCUGCCCAAAAACUCCUUCUUCUCCGAGUUCCAGAUGAAUUUCUUCCAGCUGCCCUCCUCCUUGGCUUUUCCGCGGGCCAUGCUGG